AAAGAAGUGCAGCAGGCCAAAGGAUAACACAGGCCCAUGAUUCUUCUGAUUUAGAUUCUCAAGCAAAUGGAAUAAGCAUUGCUGGUGACCUAGGAGAGCCUGGUCCCGCAUCAGUUGCAACAACAACUAAACACCCAAGGCAUCGACCUGGAUGUUCUUGCAUUGUGUGCAUCCAGCCUCCCAGUGGGAAGGGCAAACAUAAUCCAACAUGUACUUGCAAUGUCUGCAUGACAGUGAAACGUCGUUUCAAGACACUUAUGAUGCGCAAAAAGAAGCGUCAAUCAGAACGUGAAGCGGAACUUGGCCAGAGGAAUCAACUUAUGUGGAGUUCCAAGGAAGAGACUGAAGUGGACAGCUUCUCUAGACCAGUGAAACCAGAAGUUGAUCCUUCAGAGAAAGAAAGAUCUGGAAGCGAGACACUGGCGAGGGGCCAUAGCAGCUAUCAAUUGCAGAAGCUUCCGGAAAUAAGUAAGUCGCAAUUAGACUUAAACUGU
rnacentral:misc_RNA from 1 species